rnacentral:rRNA from 1 species
GAUGAACGCUGGCGGCGUGCCCAAUACAUGCAAGUCGAGCGAUCGGACGAGAAGCUUGCUUCUCUGAUGUUAGCGGCGGACGGGUGAGUAACACGUGGAUAACCUACCUAUAAGACUGGGAUAACUUCGGGAAACCGGAGCUAAUACCGGAUAAUAUUUUGAACCGCAUGGUUCAAAAGUGAAAGACGGUCUUGCUGUCACUUAUAGAUGGAUCCGCGCUGCAUUAGCUAGUUGGUAAGGUACGGCUUACCAAGGCAACGAUGCAUAGCCGACCUGAGAGGGGGAUAGGCCACACUGGAACGUGGACACGGUCCAGACGCCUACGGGAGGCAGCAGUAGGGAAUCGUCCGCAAUGGGCGAAAGCCUGACGGAGCAACGCCGCGUGAGUGAUGAAGGUCUUCGGAUCGUAAAACUCUGUUAUUAGGGAAGAACAUAUGUGUAAGUAACUGUGCACAUCUUGACGGUACCUAAUCAGAAAGCCACGGCUAACUACGUG